CACGUAGGGCGCAAGCGUUGUCCGGAAUUAUUGGGCGUAAAGAGCUCGUAGGGGGGUCUGUUGCGUCCGCUGUGAAAACUCGGGGCUUAACCCCGAGCCUGCAGUGGAUACGGGCAGACUAGAGGUAGGUAGGGGAGAAUGGAAUUCCCGGUGUAGUGGUGAAAUGCGUAGAGAUCGGGAGGAAUACCUGUGGCGAAGGCGGCCUACUGGGCCGGACCUGACGCUGAGACGCGAAGGCGUGGGGAGCGAACGGG
rnacentral:rRNA from 1 species